rnacentral:rRNA from 1 species
UACGUAGGGGGCAAGCGUUGUCCGGAAUUACUGGGCGUAAAGCGUGCGCAGGCGGUUCUAUAAGACAGAUGUGAAAUCCCCGGGCUCAACCUGGGAACUGCAUUUGUGACUGUAGAGCUGGAGUGGCGGGCAGAGGGGGAUGGAAUUCCGGCGUGGUAAGCAGUGAAAUGCGUAGAUAUGCGGAGGAACACCGAUGGCGAAGGCAAUCCCCUGGGCCUGCAC